rnacentral:lncRNA from 1 species
AAAUAUUUGUGGAAUGAAUAGUUACAUGGCAAUGUUUACUAAUAUGAGAAUGUAAUUUCCAUUUUUCUAAUUCAAUUUCUGUGUUUAUUCUUUGAGUCAUGUUAAGGGAUCAGGAGCAAAAUGAGAUGAUGGCUACAACUUGGUUGAGAAAAAAUAGUGAUUCACUGAGCAAAGACGGGAGGAGAGGGAAGAGAAAAAUAUCUUCCUGGUCCUUUGGCUGUGUGAGACCUCCCGAGAGCACGAGGAAGGGAACCAUUGGCUCAAGGGUACAUUGGCCCUGCAUGGACACUGUGUGAGUACUGCAUAGAUUGGGCCCUAAAAAUAUGUAAUCUCCUAAUGGGUAGAGACCAUAUUGCUUACAUAAUAGCCUGAGCUCCCUUCAAAAUCCCUUGAAGUAUCUAUACAAAGAGCCCUUGUGUGUAUCCUGCUCACAACCACCUCCUAGGUAGUGGGAGCUUUACUUCCUUGCCUGUCUUUUAAAUACCUUUCCUUGCCCCCUACCUUCUCUGUCUGGUGUUUCGUUCUUCAUCACUGUGGGACAUGACCCAGUUGUUUCAGUAACACCCA